rnacentral:sRNA from 1 species
AUGAAAAAAAGCUGUCGAUGUCCCAUUGUGAAGGAGUCAAACAGUUUCAUAAACCCUUUUGAUUUGACCAUUGAUGUGACUGAGGUGGAAAUGACAGAUGAUGAUGUAGAGGAUGAUGAUUAUGAACCAAGUUUUAACAUCACUCUAAGAGAAGGACUUGACACCACUGCUGCUACUGAUGAUGAUGAAGAUGACGAAUGCAUAAGCUGUGGACUAGGAGUAGAAAUAAAGAAAGAAGUUGUUGCAUCAGCCCUUUACCUGAAAUGGAUUUGUCCAGAUGGUCACACGCUUUAUAGAUGCAAAAGCACCUUCUAUAAAAUGCAGCGCCAGUAUGUUGUCCCAUCUGUCGAUGAACACUGGAUAAACCACCAAAAUGCAGUACUGGAGGAGUUCAGAGGAGUUGAUUUGGUUGUUCUUGGGGAUGGAAGAAUGGACAAGAAGGGGAUGAAAAUUAUAGAAGUUGUGACUGAUGCACAUGUGCAGAUUUCAUCACUAAUGAAGAAAAACUAUCCAGACAUCAAGCAUUCAUUUGAUGUUUGGCAUGGGACCAAGAACUUGGGGAAAAAAAUCAUCAAGAUUAUUGAACAACAUCCCAUAUUAUCUGAACUGCAGAAGUACAGCAGAGUUGGAAAACUUCCAGAACCUCAUUUUGAUAGAAGUUAUGACAAACAAAGAUGGAUCUAUCAGGUACCAGAGAGUUUUUCAGAAGAAAAGUAG